rnacentral:pre_miRNA from 1 species
UUUCCGGUUGUGAAUUGUGUCAAUUCUUUUUAUUUUACAAGUAUUGCACUUUUCACGGCCGGAAAA